AUGGGAACACCAGCGCUCCUGAGAACUAUGAAUAGCGCUGUGCUCAGAACUCUUCCUUGUGUUCUCUUUUAUUCAUGCCUCAUUCUAUCUGACAGAUUAGAAAACUGUGACAUCAAGAGGCUGGAGGACCAUGGUUCUGGGGGCCUCCAAGACCCUGCGGGAGGGAGAAUAUGUACCUUUUCCUGGCCAAACAGUGUCGCUGUACCUCUGAUGCUGCACUGGAAAGCCCCAGAGGUAAACAUAGCAUGGCAGUUCAUGAAGUGUGCCAUAUAUAAGCCAGGGGUUGACAAACUAGCCCACAGACUAUAUCAGUUCUCCGCUCAUUUCUGUUGGUCUACGAGCUAAAAAUGCCUUUUUUUUUUUUGUCUUUUUGAGACAGGGUCUCGCUGUGCAGUUCAGGCUGGCCUUGAGCUCACUUUGUAGCCCAGGCUGGCCUUGAACUUGCAAUGAUCCUCCUGCCUCAGCCUCCCGAGUGCUAGGAUUACAGUCAUGUGCCACCACGCCCGGCUAGAAUGGCUUUUAUGUCUUAUAUCACUGAAAAAAUCCUGAAGCAUGUGAAGGUCAUUUCAACUUCAGAUUACAGAGCCCAUAAGUAAAGUUUGUAUUUCACCUAUAAAAAUGUUGCGGAUAUUUUUGGUGUCUUAAUACAUAGGUAUCUACGUAAUAGCCUUAAUUUUGUCUCUUAGCUUAUGAAGCCUAAUAUUUAUUAUUACAGGAAAAGCCUGCCGAUAUGCAUGCGGUACAAACUAUCUUGAUUACAUUUUCUUUCUGUGGUAGGAUGAAAGUUGUUUAAAAUAUUAAGAUCGAAACUUAAAGGAGAACUGGCUUUGAGCUCUAGUGAUAUCUGGUUCUUCCACCUGGAACAGCAGAUAGGGCUCAUUCUGUCCUUCCCACCCUUCCUAUAUUUACCUCCCCUCCCCAUUUAUACUUUGGUCCAAAGUUGGGGGGGUAAUGCAAUUUGAAGAUCAGAAGAACCUAGUACAUCACGUAGUUCCAAAGUUCUAAUGCUUCAAACUUUACGGAGAAGUGAAAUUUUAAAAAAGUUAGUAGAAACAAACAUAGGACCGUCUUGUUUAUAUUUUUCUAGGUAAAGGAAAUGACCACUUCCAAACACAAACCAAUCAACCCGCUCUGCUAUCUGCUAAGCAACACUGAACCAUGAUUAUGUUCUAUAACAAAAGAAAAUUACAACAGCAUAAAGAAAGCAAGUA
rnacentral:lncRNA from 1 species